ACUAUUUUCUACUUUUACUAUAUAGUUAUUAAACUCUUAAAUUAAUAUGAUGAUUAUUGAUGAUAAAAAUUAAUAUCCUGAUUUAAAGAGAGACUAUUCCACAUGUUUUUCGUUUAGUCAGUGACCAGCCUCGUGACCUGAUCACAAAUUUGUGUAUACACCCCUCACCCCCUACGCGCUGCCCUCACUCCAGUUCACCCUGUCAGUCAGUCACAAAAUCGCGCCAGCCCGCCGUUCAAAUACCGUCGUCAUUGUCGAAGGUCAGUAUCUCAUUUCCCCAUUUGUUUGAUUUGCAAUUUCAUUUUUAGUGGAUUAUUCAGCUAGCUGGCAAGUUGCGUCACCGUCAAGGAGCAAGUCGUGAACCAUAGCUGGCAAGUUGCGCCACGCCGCGACGCCGAAGGGUUCAUUAAAGAGGAGGAGGAGGGCAUUUGCUACUUUGAUCACGCAGAUGAUACUUGUCAUAUAAUGCUGUAGGCAUUUGAUUUUGCAGACUAAAAUCGUAUAAUCUGAGUGGCAAGAAAUAUAUAUUCAAGGAAUUGAAGAUUAUAAUCUAUAUAUGUUCCUCACGCACAUAAAAGAAAAAAAAAACUCCCACAUGGCUGCACCGAAGAAGUUGGCAAUUUUAGGAAAGGCUUCCUAAUAGCUUGCUACUGUUUCUCUUCCACAAGAAUGGAAUGAGAAGGUUGUACGGUCAAGAUUGUUGAUUUUGGGUUGUCCAAGACUAAAGAAGUUGCAAAUGCUGACAAUGGGAAGUCAAGUUUAGAGGGAUACCUUUUUACAUGUCCUCAGAUUCGAUUGUGACGUAUGGUUGAAAUAUCAUUAGAUAUAUGAUCUCUUGGGUGCAUUGUAAUUAAGAUUUGUGAAGGAAUUCUUUCCUAAAAUCUCAAUUACAAAUGCACGCAAGAAAUCAUAUAUCUAAUUAUUGUGUAUGGAGGAAUAUGCAAACCCAGAAGGAGAUAAUGUUCGAGCUUGUUGUUCUUCAAAAAGCAUUAGAAAUAACUAAUGAAAUGUGUUGGGAUUGAAAAAAUUUCUUGAGCAAGUAUUUUGGGAAUCAAGAAAUUUUUGUAAUCUCACAACAUCAGGUAUUUCAAACUGUACCAAAGGAACCUUUUCCUAAAAUUGCCAACUUCUUCCAUACAGCCAUGUAUGUAUAUAUAAAAUUGUAACACAGCUUUCGUCCCUUGUGAUCAAAUCUGGUAAAUCUUAAUUUGGAUAUGAUUUUGCAAUCAAAUAAGUAAAAGAUUAAUUGCUGA